ACUGACUGACUUAUUUUUCUGUUCCUCUUGUUUCAGACACCACAUAAAAAUGAUGACACUUUGGUUGUUGAAGUUGUUCAUUUUUGCAUCAAUCUGUUGUGAGUGUCAUGGAGAAGAGAAAGUUGAUCAGCCAGAAAAACAAAUCACUGAGUUUGAAGGAGGAUCAGUAACGUUACAAUGUAAAUACAAAACAGCUGCUGGGCAACCAGACCUUUUCUGGUACAUCCAGAGAGCAAAUGAUUUUCCUAAAUACAUCCUGAGGAGAAAUACAUAUGGAGCAGGAGAGAAUGGCACAGAGUUCCAGGAGAGAUUUCACUCUGAAGCGAUAAAGUCUUCAGAAUCAGUUCCACUAACAAUCAAGGAUCUGCGUGUGUCUGAUUCUGCUGUGUACUACUGUGCUAUGAAGCCCACAGUGAUCACAGCAUAUUCAGCACUCAUUCAAAAACAGAGGAAGCACCUAAUCUUAUGACAUGGUGUAAAUCCACAUUCCAUUGACUUCUGUUAGCUCACAUGACAAGAACAUACAUAUUAUUUAGAGAAACCUUUAAAUUAAGCAAUUAAAAACAUUUUCUUAAUUCUUGUAGUGGUACAGUAUGCAGAGUGAAUUUGAUUGACUGAAAUUUGUUGUAAUAAAUGUCUAAGUGCACUAAGUUAUCUUUGUAUUCUUGUGUGA